AAAGAUUAAGCCAUGCAUGUCUAAGUACAAGCCUCAGUAAGGUGAAACCGCGAAUGGCUCAUUAAAUCACACCUAAUCUACUGGAAAGUUACUAGUUACUUGGAUAACUGAGGUAAUUCUUGAGCUAAUACAUGCGAAAAAUCUCGACUCACGGAGAGAUGCUUUUAUUAGAUCAAAACCAAACGGCUUCGGCCGUCUCAUUGGUGACUCUGAAUAACUUUGGGCUGAUCGUAUGGCCUUGUGCCGACGACGUUUCCUUCGAAGGUGUGCCCUAUCAACUGUCGACUGU
rnacentral:rRNA from 1 species